rnacentral:ncRNA from 1 species
ACGAAGGCUAUGAUAAAGGGUAGUAGUAAGACUGUUGCAUUUCAGAGAAUUGGCGGUUGGUGCAAGCCAAUAAUGCAAAUCCUUAUGAACUCACUUUAUCGCUCUGUAAGUGAACUCUUGAGUAGCUUAUAGCGUUUUGUCCGCGUUAAGGAUCAUGAAGUGAGGGUUGUUUUGUAAUCCUAACUAGGGUGGUACCGCGAGAAGAAAUCAAACCUCUCGUCCCUAGC